AAUGCAUGGGGAAAGGUGUCAGCUUCCCCACCGUGCAGUCAGUGUUGUGCAAAAGCAGAGGCAGGAUCUGAGGGCAAGACAAACUGGGGGCUCCUGCUUGAUUGUCUCACCUGCCCCUCUUUGGCAGCGGGUUGUGUCCCUGGCCUUUUAGACCUAAGCAGAGAGGGAAUUUCAAGUCAGGUGGCGCCUGUACAGUCUAUGGAAUAGGUAGUUAAUGAGGUCUGGAGUUGAUGUUGCCUUCCUCUCCUUCUCUGAUCACUUUCAUGUCACUCACCCAUCCCAGAUGCCAUGGUGUUCUCAAUGCCCCAGUUCUGGGGUUUCCUGCCCCACUCCACCUUUCCUUUCCUGAUCCUCAAGAAAACUGACUUCUUUUCCUAAGCCCCCCGUCUCCACUUUGUGAGGGGCAUUCUGAGCAUGGAGGCUAAUCAAUAUGUUCUCAGUAUCCAAUGGAAGCCUAACGUGCCACCUCUUCCAAGGGCAGUGCAUUUUAACUCAGACCCAACGCCCCAACCAAAUGAAAGAUCUCUAAUCUGGAAUUUUCAACAAUGGGGCUGGUGGGUCAGGGUGCACCAGAUCUCAGGAGGUUUAUCCAGAAGACUUUCAAGUGCCCCAAGAGGCUGAGUGGUCCGCCAAGUGCCUGCAUGUGUGCAGUCAGGAAGCUUGAGUCUGGGUUCUGCCUGGGGCAAGUCACUACAACUCCCAGAGCCUCAUUUCUGCUAUUCGUAAAAUGGAGAAGACACCUCCUAUGAUAUCAAGUCACUGACUUGUUCCCAGCAUCGUUCCUAUCCUCCUGACUGUGAAAGAAAGAGAAUCCUUGAACCUCCCUCCUCCCUUUCUUUCCAAGGGAAACUUUGAAUUUGUUAGCUCAAUGCCUGGGCAGGAACAUCUACUGAGAGAGGCCAGAACAUUUCCAUCAAAGAGGAGGCAAAUAUCUAGUGAGAGAAAAAAGUAGUUCCAAGACUGGGGGCUGGGGCACCAAAAGAAGUUGAGAGCCACCUGCAUGGUUUACUGGAGAAGUGUUGGCAGCAAGCUGGAAAUGAAACGGAGAGAGACUCUUUGAUCCACAAGGUCUGUGAGCAAGAUUGAAAGGAAAGAAAGGAAAAGAGGGUUUUAAGCCACGUUGUCAUGGAUUGGAACUGUAUCUUCUGUGAUAUUCUUUGAGAACAUCGGUAAACAUUGGAAUUGCUUGUGCUAAAAAAUGAAAUUACAUUGCUUAGCCUUGAAACUGUGCAACCUUUCAACUGCUGAUGAAAACAACCUCAGCAAGAUGAAAAUUUCUCCAUUUUCCUGAAACUAUUCUGCAUCAUAAAAUUCAUUGCAGGUGGUACCUUUAAAAAUAAAAGACUUGUAAAAAA
rnacentral:lncRNA from 1 species